rnacentral:rRNA from 1 species
UACGUAGGGGGCUAGCGUUGUCCGGAAUCAUUGGGCGUAAAGCGCGUGUAGGCGGCCCGGUAAGUCCGCUGUGAAAGUCGGGGGCUCAACCCUCGAAAGCCGGUGGAUACUGUCGGGCUCGAGUGCGGAAGAGGCGAGUGGAAUUCCUGGUGUAGCGGUGAAAUGCGCAGAUAUCAGGAGGAACACCGAUUGCGAAGGCAGCUCGCUGGGACGUUACUGACGCUGAGACGCGAAAGCGUGGGGAUCAAACAGG